UAAGCUGGUUCUUGCGCUGUUCAGCUGCAAAUUUUAGUCCUCGGUCAGAUUGCAAUUCUGACGAUAUGCAUGAUCCUAAUGAGUAGAGUUAAUAAUAGAAACCUAAAUGUAAUACCCGGUGCAAACUAUGUUCUUCGGUGAGAAAUUAAAAGAAGUAAUUGCUUCCCUUCAUGGGAAGCAAGCAGGUCAUGGGUGCCGGUGAGUGUCCAUUGGUUGCUCGAUUGUGAUAUUAGCUGUUCCUAUGAUAAAAGACGGAGCUCGAGUUUAUUCUUUGCAAUUCAUGAGGUAACUGUACAUGCUUUAGUAUCUAAUUGAUUUGGAGGACUGGUUAGUAUGUCUGGGGAUUUGUAUGUUGUCUGGUGCCAAUAUAUAUUGUUGCUUAAAUGUUAAUCAUUGUUAUACAGAAAACGAAGUCGUUCAUUGUCCCCUAGGCGCCGCAAAAGUCGUUCUCCAGCCACCAGACGUCAUAAGAGUCGCUCUCCAAGGAACCAUAGGAGACAGAGAAGUAGGAGUACCUCAUUGUCUCCUAUUGGUAAAUCACCUGGUUCAAGUAUUGGAUCGAAAGAGCAAAAGGGUAUCAGUGAAAAAAAUAAACUUGAUGAAGAGGAGAAGAAAAGGUACUGCUGUAUUUGUAAAGCUUCUCAUUUUCUGUAGCUAUUUAUGUCUUGUAUUGUUCCUUUCCAUCUCUUCCUCAUCUUAGAGCAAGCUAUGCUGUUGUUUUGAGUAUUCACCUAUAGAAUUAAGACUUAUUUUAUACACUCUUUCAGCUUUUAAGCAUACACCUCUAGUUUCUGUACUGUUUUCCUGAAACCAAUUGUGGAUAAAUGGAAAAUUUGCUUAGAAAUGUUUACACUGAGGCCACUGGAGAGUUUUUUUCUGAUUAGUUAUAAUGGACUGACCUUUGGAGAUUACAGAACAGAAUGUCAGUUCUUUAAUUGAAAGAUUUUUGUGAAGAGCCUGAUGAUGAGGUAGAUGUAGGAUCGGAUGGUGGGAAUUUUGGCGCUUUACUCCAUUGCCUGAAAAUGAGAAGAUGUUUAUUGUUCAUGAAAGCUCAGCUCUAAAAUUAAAAUAAACCUUGUCUGUGAGUGUUGAGUGGUAGAUAUUUGUAGAAUGUGGUCGAUUUGAAUUGUUGUUGUGUAAUAUGUGUAUCUACUGUUUAAUGUAGCAUGCUAUUGUUACACUUGUAUGCUUCACAUUUUUAUUUAACCUCCUUAUCCUUCUAAUUUGACAUGAAGGCAGUAAUGUUCCUCCCGGAAUAAAAGAAUUUCAGGGACAAUGCCCCCAAAAAAUGAAGAUAUAAAAUUAGUGCUGCUUGCCUGAGCUCCCUAGCUAUGCCUAAUGGAUCUGGGUUUUAUUGCACUCUUCUUCUUGCCUUAUUAUUUCUAAUCAUAGGUAAAUGGCUAUAGGGUUGAUGGAGUUGAAUCUGUCUAUGUUGCAAGUGGAUUGCAAGUUUCUAUAGUACAUGUUAUAAGACAGUAUAAUGCAAAGAAUGCAGCUGGAUCACCAAGUAGCAAAACAAACAACAGCAAGAGUGCUGCAUGUAAUUAGUUAUGCCUUCUAAUUGGUUCAGCAAUUGCUAAAUUAUUUAAGGCUGAUAAAGAAAGAGAGAAACGCAACCUUAAUCUUUGUUUGGUUAUUCUGCCAUGCUGCCCAUCAAUGGUCUUAUCUGUCCUUCAUUACAUCAACAGAUGUGGCAACUGCAAGGACAGAUGUUACAUGUAUUUGCUAAAACAUGUUAUUUUUCAGAACCAGCCUCACAAAAGUUAAUAGGACAGGCAUAAUCAUGAAUGUACUCGUUAAUAAGGAACAUUUGACAAGAUUUAGAUUGGCCAUUAUUUAGUGUAGAUGAAUGUACUCAAACGUCUUGUCCAUUUCAAGUUGGCUUGGAACAAGUUUCUUUAGUUCUGUUAUGCUCUAAUCUGAAUCUUGAACAGUAUCUUGUGACUCAAGCAUUGGUCUCAGGCUUCUUUUUGUCACCAUUUCUGACUAUUUUAGCUGACAUGUUGGCAGUUUUGGUCAUCUAUUAAAGAAGUAGAAACUUUUCUGUUUAAAGUUCUACUUUUGCUGUAAAGUUGCUAGUAUUUUGGUGAUUAGCUUUAAAAAUUGCUACAGGUUAUUUGACAUUCUUCUCCACAGGCUUAUUUUGAGGGAGUUACUGCUAUAUUCCACUAAUUAAUUUUGAUGAUCAAUUGGGUGCUUCGUUUAUCUACUGUUCACCAGUUUUGAUUCUCAUUUGUUUGGACAGAAUUCAGGUAGAGGCGUCAAGAGGAAGCAGAACUGAAAUUAAUAGAAGAAGAAACUGCAAAAAGAGUUGAAGAUGCAAUUAAGAGAAAAGUUGAUGAAAGCUUGAACAAGGAGGAGAUCAAGCUUGAAAUUAGAAGGCGAUUAGAAGAUGGUAGAAAGAAACUUGUGAACGAAGUUGCUGCUCAACUUGAAAAAGAGAAGGAAUCUGCUCUUAUUGAGUCAAAACAAAAAGAGG